GCAGGUGUUUGUGCGGACACGUCUAUACCAGCGUUUGCUGAUCGGUGUAAAAGACGUAUAUUCAGGCCCAUAUGUGCUUAGAUAUGAAGAUAUAUAUGCCUAGGCAUGCAAUACAUGUUUCUGUACGUACACACUGAUCUAUGUCUAUAUUGGCAGGCAGCUCAGUCUAGAGAUAAAAGAUAGGUUCUUUGUUUCCCAAGACACCCAGCGUGUUCUCCAAUCGCUAGUGGAUCUGGCCUGGAGCUUGGCGCCUCGGUUUUCUCUUUCAAAGUUACCGCUACGCCGGCAGGGUGUGCUAACGCGCGUCCGUGUCCCUCCUGCUUCUGUUGCUCCCAGAUUGUGAGUGCGCGGUUUCCUUCCUUGUGCGAAGAGACACCUUUGCGGGGGUUGCCAGUUUUUGCCUGAAGUUGGGCACGAGUGUUUGGAAGCGACAAGGAAAAAGCGUUUUUUCUGUGGUAUUCUCUUUCUCUCACAGCUCCACACCCCAGCGGCCGUAAGGUUUUGCUCAUUUCAUACCCGCUUCGGAGUCUCCCGUCGCCCAGGCGAUGCCGUCUGUGGCUGUAUGUGUGAAUUCGUUUCCGUACACCCAUCUCUAUGCUCAUAGCCUCGGUCAGCACAACGACCCCUCUUGUACGCUAUGCCUGUGAAAGAACUUUCUCUGCUUCGCCUCUGCACAAAUUCACACCGUAAUGCGAAUAUAAUAGGUGCACAAUGGGGAAUGUGUGGAAAUGGAAUAUAUAUGGGCAUGCAGUUGGGCGCAAAAACCGUGUAUAUACACCUGCCUGUUGCACGCUUGGCCGAUGUGGGCUACGCCGCGUGCUCUGUCGCGGUUUGCUUCAUGGCAGUUGGCUCGUGCGUAUCUACAACAGAUAGAGACAACGUGGAAGGUAUGUGGGAAAUAUGCGAACUCGAUUUGUAUCCUCUAUCGAUCCCCUUAUAUGCCGUUCCUGGUCGCACUGCCAGAAUGUAGGCGUAUCUCCUUGCGAAUCGACUGCAGUCAUCGGAGAGAGAGAACGAGGAAGCGUCCUUCUGUCGAGAGUGACACAAAAGACAAGAACCGACAGCUUCCAUGACAGAUCGGAGGCGGGCCAGGCGACGCUCAUGCACAGCUCUUGCCUUUGUUUUCCUCUUUUUUUAUUCGCUUCAUCUUUCCGUCUUCGUUGCGCCCGUACUGUCUCCUGCCGCCGCCAUCUUGUGCAGCCCCCUGAUCUGCGGCCUCCUCCUCCCUCCUGUCUUCGUCUCAGCUGUCAGGUGUCUUCCCUUCCUCGUUUUCAGACGUUUCACGCGCCGGCCUUCCGGUGUCUCUGUCUGCUUUUUCACACUUCAUUUUGACCGCGUGGUCGGGGAUGCUCGUCUUGUCCUCGUGCAGUCACAACUCGUGUCCCAUUUUUGUUGGAUUCUCCAUGUUUUGGGAGUUCCGCUCUCAGCCUCGCCACUCAGCUGCGGAAAACCCUGCUUUCGGCCGGCGGGCUUCCCUGUCCUCAGCGUGUAAGCCAAGGGCUCUUUCUUUGGUGUGUCGUGACGCCAGACAGUCCAUUUUCUGCGUGCAUGUUCCCGCUUUCUUCCCUCGCGGUGUUCUUUCCUGUUCGCUGCGAACUCCGCGCCGAUUAGGUCGCCAUGUUUCUCCUGCGCUUGCUCUCUGUCCGGCUAAAACCCAGAAUGUAAGCAACGCCUUUCUCCCUGCUGGCAGGCCUGUCUGUGCCGCGCGUAGAUGAUUCACACGCCCCGCGUCGCCGGAAGAAUCGCACUGGCGUGCAUAUUUCGAGCAUCAAUGCUUCACAGUUGUUUCUUUUUUAUGCGGUUCUGACCCAAAUAACAAGAGACGGUACACCGGAUACUCAGAGCAUCGGUCUGUGUGCGCGAAGCACAUCUUCUACGCUAUUUGCAAUUUUGAUUGUCACCGAAGUGCAUGCGGCUGUGUCGCCGAUCCGCUGCAAGCGGUGAGCCCUAGACUACGGCAAGUCUGUCUUGCUCACUCCAGUCGCCAGCGUUCGUUCGCUUCCUUCUCUUCCCGCUCGUCUUUGUCCCCUGCGUCCGUGUAUUUGAAACUACAGCGACACGACGUCCAUAUUUUUACCUCUAGAUCGUUACGUGGAGCCAUGCACUAACGCUGAGUCAUAUGUCUAAGCAGAUGCAGAUCGACAUUUCGACAAGGCGUUCGCUGGCAAAUGAAGGAUUGAUUCUGCUCAGAGCUGGCGAGUCAUUCAGAAACUCUUUGGUCUGUUUCAUCUUCUUUCACCUUCAACAUGCACUCACUGG
rnacentral:lncRNA from 1 species